AACGAACGCUGGCGGCAUGCCUAACACAUGCAAGUCGAACGAGACCUUCCUGUCUUGGUGCGCACGGGGGCGUAACACGGGGGAACCUACCCUUAGGUUCGCAAUAACUCCCCUAGGGGUGUGCUAAUACCGGAGAGUGUCUUCGGGCCAAAGAGUUAUCGCCGUUGGAUGGGGCCUCGUUGGAUUAGUUAGUUGGUAGGGUAAAAGCAGACCAAGGCCACGAUCCAUAGCUGGUGUGAUAGGAUGCUCCGCCCGAAUGGGACUGAGACACGGCCCAGAAUGCUACGGGAGGCAGCAGUAGGGAAUAUUGGACACUGGGCGAUAGCCUGACCAAGCCAUGUCGGGUGAGUGAUGAAGGGCUUAGGGUUGUAAAGCUCUUUUACACGGGAUGAUAAUGACAGUAACGGGAGAAUAAGCUCCGGCUAACUACGUG
rnacentral:rRNA from 1 species